rnacentral:rRNA from 1 species
CCUACGGGGGGCUGCAGUGAGGAAUAUUGGUCAAUGGGCGCGAGCCUGAACCAGCCAAGUAGCGUGCAGGAUGACUGCCCUACGGGUUGUAAACUUCUUUUAUAAAGGAAUAAAGUGAGGCACGUGUGCCUUUUUGUAUGUACUUUAUGAAUAAGGAUCGGCUAACUCCGUGCCAGCAGCCGCGGUAAUACGGAGGAUCCGAGCGUUAUCCGGAUUUAUUGGGGUUAAAGGGAGCGUAGAUGGGUUGUUAAGUCAGUUGUGAAAGUCUGCGGCUCAACCGUAAAAUUGCAAUUGAUACUGGAAGUCUUGAGUACAGUUGAGGCAGGCGGAAUUCGUGGUGUAGCGGUGAAAUGCUUAGAUAUCACGAAGAACUCCGAUUGCGAAGGCAGCUUACUAAGCUGCCACUGACAUUGAUGCUCGAAAGUGUGGGUAUCAAACAGGAUUAGAUACCCGGGUAGUC